rnacentral:rRNA from 1 species
UACGUAGGUGGCAAGCGUUGUCCGGAAUUAUUGGGCGUAAAGCGCGCGCAGGUGGUUUCUUAAGUCUGAUGUGAAAGCCCACGGCUCAACCGUGGAGGGUCAUUGGAAACUGGGGAACUUGAGCGCAGGAGAGAAGAGUGGAAUUCCACGUGUAGCGGUGAAAUGCGUAGAGAUGUGGAGGAACACCAGUGGCGAAGGCGACUUUCUGGCCUAUAACUGACGCUGAGGCGCGAAAGCGUGGGGAGCAAACAGG